rnacentral:rRNA from 1 species
CCUACGGGUGGCUGCAGUGGGGAAUAUUGGACAAUGGGCGAAAGCCUGAUCCAGCCAUGCCGCGUGUGUGAAGAAGGCCUUCGGGUUGUAAAGCACUUUCAGUGGGGAAGAAAGCCUUGGGGCUAAUACCCUCGAGGAAGGACAUCACCCACAGAAGAAGCACCGGCUAACUCCGUGCCAGCAGCCGCGGUAAAACGGAGGGUGCGAGCGUUAAUCGGAAUUACUGGGCGUAAAGCGCGCGUAGGCGGUCUGAUAAGCCGGUUGUGAAAGCCCCGGGCUCAACCUGGGAACGGCAUCCGGAACUGGCAGGCUAGAGUGCAGGAGAGGAAGGUAGAAUUCCCGGUGUAGCGGUGAAAUGCGUAGAGAUCGGGAGGAAUACCAGUGGCGAAGGCGGUCUUCUGGACUGACACUGACGCUGAGGUGCGAAAGCGUGGGUAGCAAACAGGAUUAGAUACCCUAGUAGUC